rnacentral:rRNA from 1 species
AGCGCAGGCGGUUUGUUAAGUCUGAUGUGAAAGCCCACGGCUCAACCGUGGAACGGCAUUGGAAACUGGCAAACUUGAGUAUAGAAGAGGAAAGUGGAAUUCCAUGUGUAGCGGUGAAAUGCGUAGAUAUAUGGAGGAACACCAGUGGCGAAGGCGACUUUCUGGUCUAUAACUGACGCUGAGGCUCGAAAGCGUGGGGAGCGAACA